rnacentral:rRNA from 1 species
UACGUAGGGACCAAGCGUUGUUCGGAUUUACUGGGCGUAAAGGGCGCGUAGGCGGCAAUUCAAGUCAUCUGUGAAAUCUCCGGGCUUAACUCGGAAUGGUCAGGUGAUACUGCUUUGCUAGAGUGCAGAAGGGGCAAUCGGAAUUCUUGGUGUAGCGGUGAAAUGCGUAGAUAUCAAGAGGAACACCUGCGGUGUAGACGGCUUUCUGGACCAUUGUUGACGCUGAGACACGAAAGCGUGGGUAGCAAACAGG